rnacentral:rRNA from 1 species
AGAUUGAACGCUGGCGGCAGGCCUAACACAUGCAAGUCGAGCGGCAGCACGGGUACUUGUACCUGGUGGCGAGCGGCGGACGGGUGAGUAAUGCCUAGGAAUCUGCCUGAUAGUGGGGGAUAACGCUCGGAAACGGACGCUAAUACCGCAUACGUCCUACGGGAGAAAGCAGGGGACCUUCGGGCCUUGCGCUAUCAGAUGAGCCUAGGUCGAUUAGCUAGUUGGUGGGUAAUGGCUCACCAAGGCGACGAUCCGUAACUGGUCUGAGAGGAUGAUCAGUCACACUGGAACUGAGACACGGUCCAGACUCCGUACGGGAGGCAGCAGGUGGGAAUAGUUGGACGAGUGGGACAAAGCCUAGACUCCAGCCAGUGCCGCGUGUGUAGAAGAAGGUCCUACGGAUUAGUAAA